CGUUUGUCCGCGCGUCGCUCAUCGCUCUGCAUCGACUGCUUCUCGACUUUUCCCUCCGUUUCACUUCUCUAACAAUUCCCUGCGUCCGACCUCGAUUCCUUUUGCUCUCCAAAGCUGCCUUCUCUCCCUCUCCGACCUUACGAUCUUCGUCUGACAUAUUACCAACCGCACUUUCUUUCUGAAAAACCACCCAACCUGUAGAAAUUUCUUCGAUUCUUCAGUUGGAUUCGGAGAAUUUUUUUACCCAGAAAAGCUAGCGUUUCCUGGUUGGGACAAUUUUUUUGUGAAAUUGAUGACUAAUCGCAUGCUGCUCAGAUUAUUGACAAAGAAAUUAUAUUGAACAUGGAGAAGAUAAUCAUUGCAGCAAACUCAAUCUAACGAUCCUUUUCCUGCUACUAAAAGCGUUCUCUUAACCUUCAACUUAAGCUUUGAGAUACAAUGUUGUUCUAGGCUGUCAUCCAGAUUCCCAACCACAUGUUUCCACGGCGGUUUCCAAGAGGUCCUUGAGACGAUCAGAUGCUAUACUGAGCAGCCACCAUUAUAAUAAGGUAGUGAUGUAAUCAUAAGAAAAAGUCGAGUUCUUUAGUUCAUUGCAAGUUGACCCAUCGCCAUUCAUUGCAAGUCGACCCAUAGUCAGCAGAAUGUGCUUUAAAGAAAAAACAGUUCAUAGAGUAAGAGAAACAGCCAAGUGCUACUGUGUAAGAUUCUAGGACUGCUGAAUUGGAAUACUCAGAGAAACAAUAUGCAUAGGGAUCACUAAUAAUGUUUUUUUGGUGUAUGUAUCUCAUAUGUUGAAGGCACCCUAACAUUGAAAACAACACUUCUUUUUGUACAAACUUUGCUUUCUGCUCCUCACGGAUGAUCCUCAAGAUGUUUUGGUGGCAAAACAGGUUAAACUCGCUUUUUUACUUUAACCAAAUAUGUGUGUGGAUUGAUGGUGGACUAUGUUUAGUGAAUGUGUAUUUGAGCUCUGUAGAUGAUUGCAUGUUGUGUUGACUUCAGAUUUUUGUUAUCAAUCACUCUUUCAAGUGCUUAUUUGAAUCAUUUAAUCCCAAAUUCAAAAACCAGAAACUGCCUGAUAAUCUCAGUAAGUUCUUAUUUUCUAUGAUCUUUAAGAUUGUGCCUUUUAGAUGCUUAACCUCUAAAUUGUUUAUGGUGUUGAGUUUCUGCGUUUAAUUUGUUUUUGUUGCCUUUCGCAUAUGAUGAUGAAAUGGUCCAUCUUUGAUUAUGCCUAAUUUUGGUUUUAAACUCAAAAUUUUCUGGAAUUGACAUGGGCUUACUGAAAUUUUUUUAUAAAAAAAAAACCAUUAUGCAUUUAAAUGCAGAGAUUGUUGGGUCAAAAAUAAGAAAAUGGAGAGAGUAGCACAACACUAUGCGAAAUUGGCUUUGGGUUUCAUUUGGCGGUUUGUUUUGCACGUGUCAAUUUUUCAAAGUAAAGGACGUAUGCAACACCUCCCACGAUUUUAGAACACUUGAAGGUUGAAGGUGAGACCUAAGAAAUAAAAUAGCGGUUUGAAAAGUUGUCAUGGCAUGUUAAUUCCCUUUUUUGUGAACUGAUUUUACAGCGUAUUUACCUAUUUAUUUUUUCAUAUUUUGUUUACAUUUGAUUUAUGAUAGAUUACACAUACUUAACGUGUUUGCAUAAAUUUAAUGCCUUAAGCUUACACCUUAACAAAUACCUAUGAAAUCUGCAGUAUUAUCUAAUUGAAUUGGUCAGUUUUGAUUUGCAUUUUGUUAAUUUGUAUAUUUGUAAUAGUCGACUGUUGAAAUUUUAGUGUAUCACUUUUUGUCAACACUCUG